AAGUCGUAACAAGGUUUCCGUAGGUGAACCUGCGGAAGGAUCAUUAACACGUAUCCAAACGUUAAACAACCCCGUGAACAUACAACCUGCUCUGGUCGCCCGCUCGCAUGGACAAGCCCAGUAAAUCAACUGACAGCGAUUCAUAGAAGCGGUAGGUCAAGUGACACGGCGUCCCCAAGUGACCAGUGAAUGAAAGUGUCGCUGGAGCGUCAAGGACGACUCUUCAAGAUUGCUAGAGGUCGACCACCGACCGGCUUCCGUGUAUACCGAGCUAACACCGCUCCCUUCCGAACCCCACUUUAUUGCCUUGCCUGUAAGCAUCCAUACGGAUGGGCAGGCCCCCCGAACAACUGUUAACAAUGGAUAUCUUGGUUCUC
rnacentral:misc_RNA from 1 species